rnacentral:rRNA from 1 species
GGGCGCAGCCUGAUGCAGCGACGCCGCGUGAGGGAUGACGGCCUUCGGGUUGUAAACCUCUUUCAGUAGGGAAGAAGGGUAAGUGACGGUACCUGCUGAAGAAGCGCCGGCUAACUACAUGCCAGCAGCCGCGGUAAUACGUAGGGCGCAAGCGUUAUCCGGAAUUAUUGGGCGUAAAGAGCUCGUAGGCGGUUUGUCGCGUCUGCCGUGAAAGACCGGGGCUCAACUCCGGAUCUGCGGUGGGUACGGGCAGACUAGAGUGAUGUAGGGGAGACUGGAAUUCCUGGUGUAGCGGUGAAAUGCGCGAUAUCAGGAGGAACACCGAUGGCGAAGGCAGGUCUCUGGGCAUUAACUGACGCUGAGGAGCGAAAGCAUGGGGAGCGAACAGGAUUAGAUACCCUGGUAGUCCAUGCCGUAAACGUUGGGCACUAGGUGUGGGGGACAUUCCACGUUUUCCGCGCCGUAUCUAACGCAUUAACUGCCCCGCCUGGGGAGUACGGCCGCAAGGCUAAAACUCAAAGNAAUUGACGG